AUGCAAAGUUGGUGUGUGCUUAUUCUGCAGGCUGUCUGCACGUGGACCUAAGGACAAGGACUGGGAGCAGGGCUGGGUUUCAGGAAACCAUCAGGAUUCCUGGCUCCUCCAGCCAUCAGGAAACCUGGCAAAGGAGGCCUGCUCCAGGGAAAGGCAAGGCGUCUGGGCUUUGGUGUCAGACAGACCUGGGCUUGAUCUCAGUCUUGUUCUUUUAAAUAUGCGUGCCAUUGGGCAAUCCCUUUGAUCCUCAAUAACAAGUCAUUAUGCUAAUCAGCUGAGCCACUGGUGUUGAUCAGCACUAACGACAAACGAAACCCUUGUCCUCGUGGCUUCUGGAGCCAGUGAAGAUGACACUGCAGUGAAAAUGGCAGCUGGCCACCCCUGGACUGUGAAUUCUAGGAGAGGCAACUGACUACGCUGGAGUCAUAGCAAAAAAUCAAGAACACACGUUUAUAUCACAUCAUCUUCUCUGAAGCAUUCUCAGCUUCACUUUGGACAUCGUGGUGAAAAAGUGUGCUGACCCCUGGUGUAGAGACCAAGCAGAUACAAGCAGCCAGAAGCAGAAAGAAGAGUGAAGUCAAAACGCACACAGAAAAUGAGAGAGAGAGGAGGAGUCCCCCAAAAUACGUGAGGUGGGAAGGCUGCAGUUCCCAAAAAUAUUUCCAUUUGUCAUCCUUCACCAUGACAAAACUCCACCAUCAGUGGCUUAUUCCUUAGGGACAAGCAUUGCUUUCACAAAUAUUCCUCUGAGAAGAGUUUUUCACCUUGAUUUAUACCCUGAGUAUGGAGUAGCUGAAGAGAUCAUUCUGGAGGCAGACAGGGCUGCUGAAGAUUUCCAAAAGCCAGGACGGAGGGAGAGUUUCUCAAUCUGCCAGUUGCGGCUGAGAACACCAGUGUUGCCUGCCUUGGAAGAUUGUUGGAAGGACUGAACAAGGACUUGCCUCUCCAGAGGUGGGCGAGUGUGGGGGUUUACUGUCUUUCUUCUGGCUUCAUGGGCUUCAGGUUCCUAAGAGAGAGUCCAAGAUGUCUUCCUGGAGGAAGAGCACCAACGCCAAGACUGAGAGAGAAGUUGGAGUUAGGCUGCUGGAGGGAAGGAGUGCCCAACUGAGAACUUCAUUUUGUCAAGGCAAUUUUCAAUCUGAUCCGCAUCGAUUGUGCACCUCCGGGGAGCUAGGUCUCACGCUGGGUGCUGAGGGACAAAGAUGCAAGUUGGAGUCUGAGUCCUGCUGCCACUGAGCUCUCGGGACAGCUGGGAGAUGGGCCAUGGACAAUCCACAUCCACGGGCUUCCCAGCUGCACUGUCACCUAUGCAAGAACGGGGCCCAGGUCUUCCACCUGCUCUGCUUCCCCGACAGCAGGCAGCUUGAACACUGCUAGAUAUGCAUGCGCUCUUCUGGGUUCUGCCCUCUAUGGCAGAGGACAUUGUUCUUACAAGACCUCAGCACAGAAACGUUUGCUUCGGAGAAGGUGGCAGGUCUACAGAGCGAUGGUGUGCUGGUAAGCUUUAACAAUGGGCUCUCAGGAAACAAAACAGAAGCCUCAAUUUGCAGCAUCUGCUGAUUUCUGUGGUGUAAACACUCCCACCGUUGCCUGUGCAAGGUACUAAUAUGAGGUCAUAGGAUUGGGUAUGUGCCAUCUGUGAGCAGGCUCCAGCACACCAGUGAGCCUUAGGCCUGUUUCUUCUUGUGGGGCCAGGGAGGCAUGCUCUCGGGCAGAAACUGGCCUUGCUUCCUGAGUGGUUUAAUGCUGGAAACCCUCUUAAUUGCUUCCUGUAAGGAAAGCCCUGGACGUCAACCCCUGGGCUGGCCCUGGAGCGCAUGCUGGGGCUGGUGGGUGCCCGCAGAGACGUCUGCUGCAGGAUGAGGAACAUCGAAUCCUGGGAUCAGACACAGGAACUCAGAGGCAUCUCCCUGGGUGGAUUUGAAAGAGUGGAGAGGGAUGGAGAGAGAGGAGGGUGGGAAGGAGGGGGAAAGGAGACAAAAGGGUAUGGAAGGAGAGGAGAAGAGAAACACACAAGGAGGAGGCUGGGGUAAAGGAGCAGAGUGAUGAGGAGGAAAACAGGAAGAAGAAAGGAGGAGCACAGGAAGGGAUCAGAAAGGGGAAAGAGGAAAAACAAGGGCAGAAGGAAGGAAGGACAGAAGAGAAAGCAGAUGUGCCAUUCACUGCUUGUAAGCUGUGCAAGGCUCCGCUGCGUCAGGUCACUGAACCCAAGGAGGGAGGGAAGGAGCCUACCUUUCAGCCAAGAGAAGCCUGAGGUUGGCAGAGGCCAAGGUCAAAAGCGGCUGAGGAGCCGGGAUUUUUGAACCCAGGCUGCAGGGCCUCUUCCACUGACUUCCUUCAGUUGGUUCUGACUGUAUUUGCUGGGGGCCAGCCCAUUAGUCUCAACCUUCCACUCAGGGCAGCUGCCUCCCGUUGCCAGCUUGAGCAACCAACCCUGUGCUGGGCAUGAGGGCAAGCCCCUGUGGAACACAUCUGGGUGCCCACCCUCUGCACCCUCACCACCUGUUCCAGGCUCCUUUCUUCCUCCUGCCUCUGAGGGGUGUGGGGCUUUCUGGAGGACUUCAGUUCCAGGGGAUGCCUCUGUAAAAGCCCUGUGCUCAACCGGCCAGAAAGGAUUGACUCAGACCAGGAAAUAAGAGCAGCACGAUGACCUUUUGCCAUUCUUUUACAUCGCUCUUUGCCUUUUAAAACACACUUGUAAGAAGCCCGUGGGGUUAAAAUAGCUGUUCAUUCCUGUUCAAGAUGUGCUUGGAAGGCUGCGACGGGCA